rnacentral:rRNA from 1 species
UACGGGGGGUGCGAGCGUUGUCCGGAAUCACUGGGCGUAAAGGGCGCGUAGGUGGUCUGAUAAGGAUGUGGUGAAAGUCCGGGGCUCAACCCCGGAUCUGCCGUGCCGACUGUCAGACUCGAGGACUGUAGAGGCAGGCGGAAUUCCGGGUGUAGCGGUGGAAUGCGUAGAGAUCCGGAGGAAGACCGGUGGCGAAGGCGGCCUGCUGGGCAGUUUCUGGACACUGAGGCGCGACAGCGUGGGGAGCAACAGG